UUCGAUCGUUAAAGGCCACGAAGCAUAUAGGGAGUCGUAUGAACAGUAAUAACUAGUAAACAUUAAAUAUGGCAUGAUGAUAUCCUAGGGAAUCUGAUUCAUCCAUCACUUUCCAUCACAACUCUUAAAUGAAGAUUUUAGAAGAAAUGCAACAUAAACCAAAUAGAAAACUUGUAUACAUCUCUCCCUCACGUUAAUCAUCCUUCCCAUCCCACUAUUUUAUUUUUUUCUCUUUUUUAUCCUAAGACCAAACUCAACAUUUGAAACAAGCAAAUUGGUAAUGGCGUAACUCUACGACAUCUUUGCACUGCCAUGGCGGCGCCGUCGCUAGACUCGGAAACCAUAUCAAAACUCCUAACCAAACAAUCAUUCAUAAACCCGGAUUUAAACAAGUAGAUUUACAAACCAAAGAAAAAUCCAAAGAGCCAAAUCGGAAAACAACAACAACCAGAAACCUAAGUUUUCAACCUAGAAUCGAGUCCAUGGCAAUAGAGAUUUCAUGCGAUAAUCAUAUGAUUUACACUCUAUGAGGCGACAUGCACAAGAUAGUAACAUCAAAUCAUGCAAAGAGAAGUUUUAAAUACUAGAUCGGAGCUAGUCCGAUGUUCAAACUCCGGUCAAGGCGAGUGGUUUAGCUUAGUUUACUCAAAGUUCUAAUGAUGAACUUUGAGUACACUUCGGGAGUAUCGAGCUUUGGUGAUUGGGUGUGAGCAAAAUAUCAGCAGAGUAACGGUGUGGAAAUCUCAGGUCUCUAUUAGUGAAUCAAUGCCUCCUUUUUAUAGGGUCGAGUACGAGGUUCAAUCAUUUUCAUCCUUCAUGAGCUGGCGAAUUUUGGAAGAAUCAUUCCGUUAGCUAGCAGGAUCUCUUCCAGAUUUGGUGGUCCUCCAAAUUGAUGUGGUCCCUCAAAUGAAAGGAUAAGGUUUUGUCUCAAGUGAAUCUAUGUUUUGCUCUUCUUGGUCUUCCACCAAUGGUUCAUUAUGACUUGUGCAUCACGCUUUUGGAAUGGCUAGCAAGGUCGUUCCUAUUAUGGUUGGAACAUCGUGUCAGUUUUGUUCCCAAUGCGCAUUGCCAUCUUGUUUGUCCCCUGAGGUGCUUUUCAUGACAGAGAUACCUCCCCAUUUCCCAUUUAUGCACUACUAUUAAUGUCUAUGAUAAUACACAUCUCGCAGCAAGUUCAUGAUCAUGGGAAGUCUUUGUUGUUGAUGCAAAGUCUACUCGUGGUUGAACGCUUUGGCCUGCCGAGACCUGCUGUAGUGGUGACGCUUGUUAUAGCACACUGCCUUGGGAUUGGUUGCGGACUUUAAAUAGCGGACUUGAAAAUUCAUGAUAAAGUUCUGAUGGUCGUACCAUGCUUGGUUCAUCAACAUUCAUGCACUGGAGUCUUCUUGGCGAGUAUGCAGGAAUCACGGUAACGGGAUUAACUCAUAUGGUUGUUACACAAUUACAUACGCAUGUAUUGGUUCUGCAGCAGGUCAUGUGUUGGAUGAUGCAACCAUAUGUUUGUACCAAAAUACCUUAUGGUUUAGGUUUGUUUGAUAAUGCCGGACAUUGGCCACGAAGUCUUUAUAAUUCCCAGUCGGUAUACCACAGUCACCUCUUAUUCAUAGCCUUGGCUUGCAGCAUUAGCUACCAAUUCUCGCGAAGUGCUAAGCCAUGAUUCCAUUACGCCGUUGAUACUCAAUCUGGUGCGGUUUCUUGAAGGAACAUCGACACUACAAGGGUGAUGCACACUUUAUCAUGUUGGUUCACAAGGUAUUGCUGAUUUUACCGAUGUAGCCUAUGUCAUGACGGUUUUGGCACGGAUGUGACAACUUUGCGGCCUUUCAAUGCGUUGGUUUGCUUUUGAAACGCAGGGAUCAUCACAUUUGUUGAGCCCACUCUCAUGACUAAUUAUUGCUUGCUCCUUUGAAGUCGAUUUUUCUGGAAGUCCGUUCGUAGAAGCCAGGUGUAUCUUGUCUGCUGAAGCAUCACUUGCAAUUUUCGUUUUCUGGUGAUCGUCUUCUAAAUCUUUAUCAUCUAACAUUGUUGUAUCAUGUUGUAUAUUUUUAUCAGACUGAUCUUCCUCACUUUUAAAAUCUCCCUCAGAGGUGCUUAUUUCUUUCUUAGCAUCUGGUGGAUCUUCUAGAAGAAAGCAACUCCUUGAAGCAAUCUCAGUUCCAAGAGAAUUUUCAGACAAGGAUUUUAUGUAGUCAUGAGCUGAAGCAAAAAGCCAUAUCAGAACAUACCAAUUGCGCAAGGAAAGGUUCCAAUUCCAUGACAGGAUUACCCACCUCGGCAAGUGAAGACGGACCUUCAGGUUCAAGAGAAUAACCAACAGCUGUAAAUGCUUCCUUAAGAGUGCUUAAAACGACAAUCAGUAUCUACUUCCCCUUCCAACUGCUACUUCAAUAAGACGUUGAGUUGUCAUCAAUGUCGUCAUUGUGUAUGUCCUCAUGGCUUGUGGCUUCGUCCUCAGAACAUGCUUCUGUCACAUUACACGACUUCCAUGGUAUGCCGAAUGUUUGUAGUGAUCUUCUACUGUUGCUCACAUGUUGUUUAUAUUGUUGCUCACAUGUUGUUCAUAUUAUGUUCAGUAUGAGUCUAGGCAAAUUGUUAUUGCGUAUGUCUGUAAGGUUUUGAAUUGGUUUUGGACAAGUUAAGACAUCUUAUGCAGGUGGAUGCACAACUUAACGGGAAUGGAACGGACACGGAAGAUCAACAAUUAGACGCCUUUUAUUCAGAACUUAAUCUUUCUUGACUCAAGUGAUGUAACAUGUUGUUAACAUGGUGUAGCACACUUAGAAUAUGGGUUAACUCAUGAAAAAUUGUUACAUGCUUGUAAUUUUAAUUGA